UGUUAAGUGGAAAAGGAUGUGGCGUUGCCCAGACAACUAGGAUGUUGGCUUAGAAGCAGCCAUCAUUUAAAGAGUGCGUAAUAGCUCACUAGUCGAGUGACACUGCGCCGAAAAUGUACCGGGGCUAAACAUAUUACCGAAGCUGUGGAUUGUCCUUUGGACAAUGGUAGGAGAGCGUUCUAAGGGCGUUGAAGCAUGAUCGUAAGGACAUGUGGAGCGCUUAGAAGUGAGAAUGCCGGUGUGAGUAGCGAAAGACGGGUGAGAAUCCCGUCCACCGAUUGACUAAGGUUUCCAGAGGAAGGCUCGUCCGCUCUGGGUUAGUCGGGUCCUAAGCUGAGGCCGACAGGCGUAGGCGAUGGAUAACAGGUUGAUAUUCCUGUACCACCUAUAAUCGUUUUAAUCGAUGGGGGGACGCAGUAGGAUAGGCGAAGCGUGCGAUUGGAUUGCACGUCUAAGCAGUAAGGCUGAGUAUUAGGCAAAUCCGGUACUCGUUAAGGCUGAGCUGUGAUGGGGAGAAGACAUUGUGUCUUCGAGUCGUUGAUUUCACACUGCCGAGAAAAGCCUCUAGAUAGAAAAUAGGUGCCCGUACCGCAAACCGACACAGGUAGUCAAGAUGAGAAUUCUAAGGUGAGCGAGCGAACUCUCGUUAAGGAACUCGGCAAAAUGACCCCGUAACUUCGGGAGAAGGGGUGCUCUUUAGGGUUAACGCCCAGAAGAGCCGCAGUGAAUAGGCCCAAGCGACUGUUUAUCAAAAACACAGGUCUCUGCUAAACCGUAAGGUGAUGUAUAGGGGCUGACGCCUGCCCGGUGCUGGAAGGUUAAGAGGAGUGGUUAGCUUCUGCGAAGCUACGAAUCGAAGCCCCAGUAAACGGCGGCCGUAACUAUAACGGUCCUAAGGUAGCGAAAUUCCUUGUCGGGUAAGUUCCGACCCGCACGAAAGGCGUAACGAUUUGGGCACUGUCUCAACGAGAGACUCGGUGAAAUCAUAGUACCUGUGAAGAUGCAGGUUACCCGCGACAGGACGGAAAGACCCCGUGGAGCUUUACUGUAGCCUGAUAUUGAAAUUCGGCACAGCUUGUACAGGAUAGGUAGGAGCCUUUGAAACGUGAGCGCUAGCUUACGUGGAGGCGCUGGUGGGAUACUACCCUAGCUGUGUUGGCUUUCUAACCCGCACCACUUAUCGUGGUGGGAGACAGUGUCAGGCGGGCAGUUUGACUGGGGCGGUCGCCUCCUAAAAGGUAACGGAGGCGCUCAAAGGUUCCCUCAGAAUGGUUGGAAAUCAUUCAUAGAGUGUAAAGGCAUAAGGGAGCUUGACUGCGAGACCUACAAGUCGAGCAGGGUCGAAAGACGGACUUAGUGAUCCGGUGGUUCCGCAUGGAAGGGCCAUCGCUCAACGGAUAAAAGCUACCCCGGGGAUAACAGGCUUAUCUCCCCCAAGAGUUCACAUCGACGGGGAGGUUUGGCACCUCGAUGUCGGCUCAUCGCAUCCUGGGGCUGUAGUCGGUCCCAAGGGUUGGGCUGUUCGCCCAUUAAAGCGGUACGCGAGCUGGGUUCAGAACGUCGUGAGACAGUUCGGUCCCUAUCCGUCGUGGGCGUAGGAAAUUUGAGAGGAGCUGUCCUUAGUACGAGAGGACCGGGAUGGACAUACCUCUGGUGUACCAGUUGUCGUGCCAACGGCAUAGCUGGGUAGCUAUGUGUGGACGGGAUAAGUGCUGAAAGCAUCUAAGCAUGAAGCCCCCCUCAAGAUGAGAUUUCCCAACUUCGGUUAUAAGAUCCCUCAAAGAUGAUGAGGUUAAUAGGUUCGAGGUGGAAG
rnacentral:rRNA from 1 species